rnacentral:rRNA from 1 species
GACGAACGCUGGCGGCGUGCUUAACACAUGCAAGUCGAACGGAAAGGCCCUGCUUGCAGGGUACUCGAGUGGCGAACGGGUGAGUAACACGUGGGUGAUCUGCCCUGCACUUCGGGAUAAGCCUGGGAAACUGGGUCUAAUACCGGAUAGGAGCCAUUUUUAGUGUGAUGGUUGGAAAGUUUUUUCGGUGUAGGAUGAGCUCGCGGCCUAUCAGCUUGUUGGUGGGGUAAUGGCCUACCAAGGCGGCGACGGGUAGCCGGCCUGAGAGGGUGGACGGCCACAUUGGGACUGAGAUACGGCCCAGACUCCUACGGGAGGCAGCAGUGGGGAAUAUUGCACAAUGGGCGCAAGCCUGAUGCAGCGACGCCGCGGGGGGGAUGACGGCCUUCGGGUUGUAAACUCCUUUCGCUAGGGACGAAGCUUUUUGUGACGGUACCUAGAUAAGAAGCACCGGCUAACUACGUG